GACAGUGUAGUCAAGUGGACAGACACUAGACUAAGAGUCAGGAAACCUGAGUUCUAUUCCAGCUCUGUCA
rnacentral:tRNA from 1 species